GGGCUCGUCGUCUAGUCUGGUUAGGACGCCACCCUCACACGGUGGAGGUCCCCGGUUCAAAUCCGGGCGAGCCCA
rnacentral:tRNA from 2 species